UGCUCACAUGUGACCUUGGGCUUGGCUUAG
rnacentral:piRNA from 1 species